CCUGUUUAAUUCCUCUUGAUUAGCCUUUUAAUUACCUGGGCUGUCACAGUCCUCGCCGCGCCGCCACUUCGUCCCCGGCGAAUCCGUGCGCGAGCUCGGCUGCCGACCGAUCCGCGUCCCCGGCUCCGCGCCGUCCCAGCAGAUCCGCGCCACCCGGCCGCCGAUCCACGCCCAGCCGCCGCCCUCCCGUCGCAUACAACAAAACUUCCGUUGCCGAUGAGUACACAAAGGGGAAGGGUCAGGCAAUGGAGGCAGGGCCAGUCGCUGCAGCAUGCGGAGGCCCUAAUAUUCAAUCUCAUUGAAGACACCUGCAGGCCGAGGCAAGGUGGUUGCCCCCAAUGGCUGUGCCAUGGCUGCUGGGAGUGAUGAUCUGCACCAGUGCCCCCCAACCAUACCCGAUUCUCGGGGUGUCGUUCGUCCUCUAAUCUGAGACCGAAGAGUAUAAUGUAGACGAUGGGGUGGGGCAUAGCUGGCGGCCACAGCAAUUGCAGCAGGCACCAGAAUACAGGAGGCAGCAACAGGUUUGAUUUUACAUAGCUGGGAUUUGGGAAUAUGUUUAAGCUCUUACUUAGGUCCUUUAAUCUCUAUAUAAGUGUCAACCAACAUUUACACAUACUAUUGCUUUCUCGAGUUAUUUUUUACAAUGAAAAAUAUCAAACAACUAUUAUAGAAUGUGGUGUGUUAAAAAUGCCAUCAGCGGAGUUUUCCCUCUUUGGUCAUCUUUGACUGAUCAUUAUGCCAGUGUAGAAAACUGUUAUGAAGUUUUCUCUAAGUGGAUCAUUUCUCUAAAGUUCCAUCAAUCUAUUAGAGCGUAACAGUUUGAUUUUUGUUGUUAGUGGAAGAUCUGUGCAAACCAGGUGUAACUACAAGGCUACACUCUAUUUGUUUCUUCUAAGAUUGCCUGCAUAAAUGAAUUGACACUCAAGUUGCAUUGCGAACAUCUACCGGUGAUAAUUUUUAUUCAAAGCUUGUUUGUUCUGUUUGAACUCUGAAUUCUCGUCAUUGCAUAAUGCAAUUCUAGUAUAGAAGUAACUAUUGACAAUUCUUUGUACUAUUUUCAGGUUCAAUUUGGUAACACAUUGUUCUCUGGGAUCUCCGCCCUCAUUGCCAUGUCCUGGCUUUCACUUAGCAUACCAUUCAUUGUUAUUGACUUAUUGUGUUUUCUGAUGCUGAGUUAAAUUAAACACUUCAAUCUUGAGUUCUAUUAAAUGAGCCCUACCUAUUUUUUUUACAUGUUGAUUGUUGAAUAAGAUAAGUACUAUGUAAAACUGAUUUCUUCCAUUGGGGACUUCCAAAACAAAAUCAAGUACUAUAUAAAGCAGUGCUCUUUCUUUUGGCUAUUCCCAGGCCUGAAAAAUAACAAACUUACUUUUAGAAAACUAAUCAAUGGACAAAUUGAUUUGUGAUGUCUUUCAGAUAUUGUUUACUGUUUUAUGGCAACUAAACACUUGAAUGGGAAGUAAUAAAUCAAGUCGUCUCCUGAACUACCAUAUGUUCACGUGCCAUGAAGAAGAGCUACACGCAUUUAGGUGCCCCCAAGGGUUGGUGCACAAGAUUGAAGCUACAAGCAUGCUAGCUAUUGCUGAGGAUCAUGCCUCAGGUGUCACAAAAUCUUGUCUGUCACUUGAAUUCAUUGGUUGAAAAAUCGGAUGCUAAGCAACCGAAUUGCCCAAUAGACAUUUUUUAUUGACGAUAAUUUGUACUUCUGUUUAAUGUAUAGUGCAUUCCUCCA